rnacentral:rRNA from 1 species
UACGUAGGGCGCAAGCGUUGUCCGGAAUUAUUGGGCGUAAAGAGCUCGUAGGCGGCUUGUCACGUCGGGUGUGAAAGACCGGGGCUUAACCCCGGUUCUGCAUUCGAUACGGGCUGGCUAGAGUGUGGUAGGGGAGAUCGGAAUUCCUGGUGUAGCGGUGAAAUGCGCAGAUAUCAGGAGGAAUACCGAUGGCGAAGGCAGGUCUCUGGGCCAAUACUGACGCUCAUGCACGAAAGCGUGGGGAGCAAACAGG